ACACGCGGACCUCUCCUCCUGGCCCUAUCCAUUUCUCCCCGCCGCACCGCACCCACGCCGCCGCACUGCACCCGCGCACGCCUGGUCCUCCCACCGAUGCGUCGUCCCCGGCGAGCGAGAAGGGCAGCGGCCACUGGUUCCCCUCAUCGGGAUGCGGAGAAGCUGGGGAGCGUGCCUCACACCCGCGCUCAACGCGCGCGGGACUCGGCGACACCCCCGCGGCGCUCCUGCUCUCCCCCAGCCGCGCGGCGCUCCUACUCCCCACCGGCGGCGCGGAGCUCUGGCGAGAAGGAUCCAUCUACAUUGAGCGGGGUGCAGGGAAGGGGAGCAGCGUCACGCACUCGCGCUAGACGGUCGCGGAUCUCCGAGACCUUGGCCCUGGCGUCGGGCGAAGGCGGCGACCCAAGCGAACCAAUUCCGGAGAAGAUGAACAAGGCCCCCAAGCCUCUGAAGGGAUUAGGCAACAAAAAUGCUGAGGUUGAACACUUCCAGACACAGUUCUCAGUUCACAGGAUUCGAGAGCUUGUCCCCACUUUUGUUGAUGCUCAAAAGCAGUGGAUCAAUGAGGCCGGCUUUGGCCUGCUUCUAGCAAUGACUGAGUUCUCUGUCCCUGUUAAACUCGUGAGGUGGAUGAUGAAAUAUGUGGACCCAUUGCUCUGUGAAUUCAGACUCCGCAUCAAGGUCAUUGUCUUCAACCGUGAGCUUGUUCACAAUAUUCUUGGGCUGGAAAACGGGGAUGUUCCCGUCAAGCUAUCUGGUGAUUGGGACGAUGUCAAGAAUCUACGUGAAGAAUACAAGGAAGGUGAAAGAGCUAAGAUCAAGAAAUGCAUUGAGGUGUUGAAACAUAGCAAAGACAAGGAUUCAUUUAUGAGGGCAUUUACUCUUCUUGCUAUGGGAUCUGUCUACUGCCCUGAAACAGGCAAUUAUGUUAGCUUGAAGUAUCUGCAUAGCCUAGUGAACUGAUUGGGCUGGCCACAUUAUAGAGAUUUUGAUGGAUGAGGUUAAGAAGUACCAAAAAUUCUCUCCCCAGUGGCUGCUUGAGCAUGACCACCAGAUGGGACCAUGUCUCCCUAUUCUAGCAAUUGCUUACAUGGAUCAUCUUAACAUACCAACCGAUCGAGGAACUCAUCAAAUAAAUUAUAACACACCCCACAUUUCCAAUGUUACAAAUGAGGAUUUUGAGUUCGUCAUGAAGGUUGAUAGAAAUAGAAUGUCAUUAGACAAUGCAUAUGGGAGGCUACCAUUUCGUGAUUUCUGCCACACCUUAUGCGGCUGCCCCAAUCGUGGAGAAUCCCGUCACCCCUGAUGAGGAAGUGCCCGGCGCAAGCUCUGCAACCUUAGAUGAUUGGUUGAAUCAACCAGGACCAAGUACUCAAGGUUUAAAUCAGCUCCCUCCUGAGUACCAACAGAUUGUUGCUGAGUACAACAAUCUUGUGGAACAGGAUGUUCACGAGCUCGCAGAGGCUGUAGCUGCAUCUGUGAAGGACAAAAUCAAGGGCAUAUGGAGACAACGCCGAGCUGAGAUGAUGACUAAGCUAGGGACGUUAAGCAAUCAAAGCAAGGGCCCUUCUGUAUCUCUCAACCAAGUUGCUUCAGAUCUCCCCCACCAAAGAAGAUGGUUCUGCAAAGCCAUCCAUUAUUGCAGAUGCAAUUACUGACCCAGCUGAUAAGGUGAUUGAGAUUUGCAGCGAAGAUAAAGUCCCUUCCAAAAUGCACGACCCGAACUUCAAUCGACAGAUAUUGAGUUCAAUCCACUGCUUAGCCCUUCCCAUCUGAAGAUAAGGGAUGCUACCAACAUUGAAAAUGUUCCGGAAAGCAGCGGUACAAGCACACGAGAGAAGAAAAAUAGGAGGAAGAGAGCUGCUGUCAAUUCUAACUUUGGCAAGAAACCCAAGAAGAUAAAGCUUGAUGAAGAGACUAAGGUGGCCUACUACACAUAUUUGAGCCGAAAACUAUGAUUCAAAGAAGCUAGCGGGCCAGCUGAUAAAAAUGAUCACCCACCAUUUGUUCAAAUUGCUGGCUUCCAUGUCUCAUAUGAUGAGUUCUAUGAGUCAUUCAAGCAAAGGGGCAAAAUUGACAACAAUGUGAUGUCUUUAUGGACCUACCAGUUUAACCUCGAUGAAGCUGAAAUUCGUAAGGAAGAUAACAAUGUUGUCAAAAAAUAUGCUUUUUCCUCUCUCAUCACUGGGCAGCUUAUAGUUGAUCCUGCAACUUUCAAAAGUGAAACUUCCAAGAGGGAGCUUACAAGGUUGAACAAAACAUGGGGCCUAUCAAAAAUGGAUUUGAUUUUUUUUCCCCAUUGUGAAAGGAGAGCAUUGGGUUGUCACAUGCAUCAACAUAUUUUUGAAGCAAAUCAACUUUUUCAAUUCUAUAAAUGCCUCAACUAUUACUCCAUGUUAUGAGGCUUCCAACAACCUGGUUGCAAACUUUUCAAAGGCUGUAUUGGAAUUGGAAAUUUUUAAAGAGGAUGUGUCCCAGUUUGAGCCCAUCUAUCCUACAGACUACCCGCACCAACAUACAUUGAAUGAUUGUGGUGUCUACUCCAUGUUGUACAUUGAAUCCUGGAAUGGAAAGAAGAUGGAUGUUGCAUUUUAACUGAGCAUGAUUGGAGACUACCGGAAGUAUGCCACAGGAGGAUUGUUGUUGUCCCCGAUGAAUGAAGUCAACACAUCAGAUUUUGUUGAAAAGAAUUGCCUCCAUGAUUAGUUUGCCAAAUGAUAGUAUUAGCAAGUAUAUGUUGGGUAUUCAGUAGUAUAUGGCAAAUUUUUCAUCAUUGUUUUUCAUAUAAUAUUGAACUCCAAUAAUUAAUUUAUUAUUAAAUAUCCUAACCUAUCAAAAUUAUGAUAAAAAAUUAUGAUGUAUUUUUCUAA